rnacentral:rRNA from 1 species
GGUCGAAAGAUCGUGGCCCCACACACUGCUCAGUAACACGUAGUCAACCUACCCUUGGGACGGGGACAACCUCGGGAAACUGAGGCUAAUCCCCGAUAGGUGAGGGACGCUGGAAUGCCUCCUCGCCCAAAGCUCCGGCGCCCAAGGAUGGGACUGCGGUCUAUCAGGCUGUUGGUGGUGUAACGGACCACCAAACCUACGACGGGUACGGGCGAUGGGAGUCGGAGCCCGGAGAUGGGGACUGAGACAAGGCCCCAGGCCCUACGGGGCGCAGCAGGCGCGAAAACUCCGCAAUGCGCGCAAGCGUGACGGGGGAAUCCCAAGUGCCGUUGGUCUUAUGAUCGACGGUUUUUAGGAAGUCUAAGAAGCUUCCAGAAUAAGGGCUGGGCAAGACUGGUGCCAGCCGCCGCGGUAACACCAGCAGCCCAAGUGGUGACCACGAUUAUUGGGCCUAAAGCGCUCGUAGCCGGAUCAGCAAGUCCCUUGUGAAAUCGGGCCGCCUAACGGUUCGGCGUGCAAGGGGUACUGUUGGUCUUGAGGCCGGGAGAGGUCGGAGGUACUCCUGGGGUAGCGGUGAAAUGCUCUAAUCCCUGGGGGACCACCAGUGGCGAAGGCGCUCAACGAGAACGGACCUGACGGUGAGGGACGAAGGCUAGGGGAGCGAACCGGAUUAGAUACCCGGGUAGUCCUAGCUGUAAAGUAUGCUG